rnacentral:rRNA from 1 species
AUUGAACGCUGGCGGCAUGCCUUACACAUGCAAGUCGAACGGUAACGGGCCUUCGGGUGCCGACGAGUGGCGAACGGGUGAGUAAUGCAUCGGAACGUACCUUUCAGUGGGGGAUAACGUAGCGAAAGUUACGCUAAUACCGCAUAUUCUGUGAGCAGGAAAGCAGGGGAUCGCAAGACCUUGCGCUGAUUGAGCGGCCGAUGUCAGAUUAGCUAGUUGGUGAGGUAAAGGCUCACCAAGGCGACGAUCCGUAGCGGGUCUGAGAGGAUGAUCCGCCACACUGGGACUGAGACACGGCCCAGACUCCUACGGAGGCAGCAGUGGGGAAUUUUGGACAAUGGGCGGAAGCCUGAUCCAGCCAUGCCGCGUGAGUGAAGAAGGCCUUCGGGUUGG